GUCCCUGUAGCUUAUAAUAAAGCAUGACACUGAAGAUGUCAAGACGGCUGUAACACGCACCCAAGGACA
rnacentral:tRNA from 1 species